GUGCUUGCCUUGGCAGCACACAUUAAAAAAAUUGGGAUGAUACAGAGAAAAUUAGCAUGGCCCCUGUUCAAGGAUGAUGAAAAAUGAAUGCAAUAUGAUAUGAACUU